rnacentral:rRNA from 1 species
UACGUAGGGUGCGAGCGUUGCCCGGAUUUAUUGGGCGUAAAGGGCGCGUAGGCGGUCACGCACGUCCGUUGUGAAAUCGCUCGGCUCAACUGGGCGGGGUCAGCGGAUACGGCGUGGCUGGAGCAAGCUAGGGGGCAAUGGAAUUCCCGGUGUAGUGGUGGAAUGCGUAGAUAUCGGGAGGAACACCAGUGGCGAAGGCGGUUGCCUGGAGCUUUGCUGACGCUGAUGCGCGAAAGCGUGGGGAGCGAUCAGG